AUUUAAGAAAUUAUUAAAAAAACGCAGACGACCCGCUUGUCUUCCUUCCCAAGAAUUCCCAUCAUCAAACGCCAAGGAGAACGAGGGAGGGAAAGAGAGGAGACGAGAGAAGAAGAGAAGAGGAAAUCUCGAAGAGAUCGAAGAGAAGGCAGGAGUAAUGGCGGAAGGUGAGGAGAAGAGUGAGGGAGGGGGAGAGGAGGGUGGAGGAGAGAGAGGAGAAAGCGUGAAGCUUUUUGUGGGGCAGGUGCCGAAGGACAUGACGGAGGCGCAGCUCCUGGCGAUGUUUAAGGAGGUCGCGCUUGUCGACGAGGUUAACAUCAUCAAGGACAAGACCACCAGGGCCUCCCGAGGGUGCUGCUUCUUGGUCUGCCCGUCGAGGCAGGAGGCCGACAAGGCGGUCAGUGCCUGCCACAACAAGCGGACGAUCCCCGGCGCCUCUAGUCCAUUGCAAGUGAAGUAUGCAGAUGGUGAGCUGCAAAGACUAGAACACAAACUUUUCGUUGGUAUGCUUCCAAAGAAUGUAACUGAGGCCGAAGUUUCUGUCCCGUUUUCAAAAUAUGGUAACAUUAAAGACCUACAAAUCUUGAGAGGUUCCCAACAAACAAGCAAAGGCUGUGCCUUUUUAAAGUAUGAAACUAAAGAUCAAGCUCUUGCAGCCCUUGAGGCCUUAAAUGGGAAAUACAGAAUGGAGGGUUCAAGCAUGCCUUUGGUUGUUAAAUGGGCUGACACACAGAAGGAAAGGCAAAAUCGAAGGACACAAAAAGCUCAAUCUCAGGCGUUCAAUCAUCCAAAUACCAACUCAAUACAGCAGCCUUCAUUAUUUGGAGCUUUACCAAUGGGGUACAUUCCUUCGUAUAAUGGUUUUGGCUAUCAGCCAACUGGAACUUACGGACUCAUGCAGUACCCUUUAGCUUCAAUGCAAAAUCAAGCUUCCUUCAAUAAUAUGAUUCCACCUGUUAAUCAAGGAAAUGCAAUAUGUGGAAUCAGUUCGGAUCUUUCCCCAGGCAUGGUACCCAGGAAUUUUGUGACAAUGCAAUCUGCUGGUUAUAUGGGCUCGGGUUAUCCUACCAUGACAAGUGUUCGAUACCCUCUAGCCUAUCCAAGUGGUAUGAUAAGCCACAGGCCUUUUGGCAAUUCCCAUGGUUCGGUCCAACCAGUAAAUACUAAGAGUAAUCUAGCAUCAUGUUCAAGCACCAGUACAAGUUCCAGGGGUCAAGUAGAAGGUCCUCCUGGAGCUAACUUAUUUAUAUAUCAUAUCCCCCAAGAAUUUGGCGACCAGGAGCUUUCAAAUGCCUUCCAGGGAUUUGGCAGGGUUUUGAGUGCUAAAGUUUUUAUUGACAAGGCAACUGGUGUUAGUAAAUGCUUCGGUUUUGUAAGUUAUGAUUCACCUGUUGCUGCUCAGGCUGCUAUAAAUGCAAUGGAUGGUUUCCAAUUAGGUGGUAAAAAGCUUAAGGUGCAGCUUAAGAGAGACAACAAGCAGAGCAAACCUUACUGAUGCUGGAAAUUCUCUGUAAGGAAACAAAAUUUCCUACAUUAUCUGGUCCCUUCCAAUUUCAGAAUUUUAUGAUUGCAAGGUCAGCAAUACAAUUCAAGCUGGAUGGAAGAUAAUUCAUCAUUUUAUACUUUGCUCCAUCCCAUCAUGUCUGAAGAAAACUCUAAGAUGCCUUCUUUUUAGUGGUUAUUCAGCACAGGGUUCAGCUGUUUUGGGUCAAAGUUGCCUGCUAAUUUCCAGUGACCUUAUAUCACUACAUUUGGAGGUCUUCCAGGCAAUCUGCGAAAAAAUUUGGCUAUUGGUGCACCAGGGGAAAUUGUCUUCGUAACUAAAGAUCUCACAACGUUCUGUUGUUUCUGCAAGAGGUUGCAAGACCUGAUUUUCUGGUAGUUUGAGAUAACAGGCUUCCCUUGCAACCAGGUCAUGUGGCACCUUGAUGAAGCUGAGCUUUCCACUACAAACUGGAAAAUGCUGAAUAUAUUGGGUUUUACCUAUUUACUCUGUCCAGCAUCUUGCUGACAAAGGCAUGCAUAACCAAUCACUAAGGGACUUUGCUAGGUGCAAGCCUAUGACAGGAAGCUAAUGGAUGGAUACAGAGAAUCAUGUACCUUAUUGAUAGCUAAACAGCCUAUAUUCACCAGGAAAUUUUGGCAUAAGACGAGCAUGAUGAAUUAGCUAUUGGUGCCCCGUUCUUCAUGGCACAUAUCAUGUGAUGGACCAGCACCAGCAAUUGCAAAGUUUGUACAUUAGUUCCCACAUCACUUCCCUGGCGGUAACCAGUAUCUGGAAGCGAGUUUUGAGGUCUACCGUCUCUCAAUUCUGGUAGGGGGUUCUUCGCUGCGGUAAUUUUUUUCUAUUCUGGCAUCAAUUUUUAUUUUGGGGAUGUCUCUUUGAUCCAUCUUUGGCAGGACACAUGGUGUGGGCGUGGUUGACUCUUUUGUGUUUCAGCUCAACAACAUUGCCUUGUGCAUGACUACUCGCAGAUAGCAGUUAGGAAACAACGGACUUCGAUUUAAAGUCAUGUUGGAAGGGGAGUUGGCAGUGCAAGCAAUACAGCUAGAAGAUCUUCUACAGGGUGCUUGGAAUGGUCGUGGGAAUGACAAAGUAAUAUGACACCAGAAUAAUGCUAGAGAAAUCAGAACCAGAGUUGCUUGCAAGAUUUUAACAUAUAUCGGUCUUCAUGCUCAGUUUGCAAGGCAUCUUUGGCGCAUACCUUUACCUUCAGAAGGCUCUGAUUUUCUCUUGGCUUGCCAUUCAGAAUAAAAUCUUGAAAGUACAAAAUAAAUUUGCCAAAAAGAAAGUUCUAUAUACAUUUCUUAUGCCCUCUAUGUCGCCAGUCUGAUGAAACUCCUGAUCAUCUUCUGCUACACAGUGAGACUCAGUUUUCUAGCAGGAUAUGGCUCUAUUAUGGAUUAGAAGAUGGGAGUGUUUAAUCGCCUUGCUAGUUUGAGGAGCUAUGGACAACAUGGAGAGUUAGAUGGAUAAAACUUUCAUGGCAUAGAGGAUGGGAUGUGCUUGCAGUGGUGAUAAGCUGGAGCAGAUGGUGAGAGAGAAAUAAUCGGGUUUCGGAGACAGCUGAAAUGGCAUAUCAAGUGAUGAACCAGAAUAGGGGGCUGGUGAGCAGCUCGUUCGUCGGUGCUAAUGAUAGGAAAUCAAGGUUUGUUUUUCCUGCUUUGAAUCUGUUAAAGUUUUGUAAAUCUUCAUAAUCUCCUUGCUUUUAGCCCAGGCUAGAAGCUUGUGUUGUUUGCUGCUUCAUACUUCAAUAAAUUGGAUUGGGCUCUGCCCAAUUCUUUCCAAAAAACAGAAAAUUAGAAAGAAAAAAAACUAGUUCUCACUGCACCUUCCUACUAAAGUACUAAUACUAUUCCCUUGAAUUUUUACAUGGGGAAAUUGGCAUUCAACAAUCUUGAAUAGGAGGUUCAUCAUCAUGAAGUGAGAAUGGCAAAUAUACCCUUGCAAAUAAAGAUUAAGAGAGAAUUGAAAGACUUGGAAUUGAAGGUUAGAUCUCAUUCAAUCAAACUAGAGCCACGGAAAUUUAAAUUUCACAAGGGUCAAAAGCAUGGCUGGAAAUGUAACAAGCCUACCUAUUGACUUUAGGGACGAAAUCUCAUGUUCAUUAUGUUAGUCAUUUACUCAUUUGCUUCAUAGUCUCAGUAUAGAGCACAGAAAAAAAAGCACAAUAAUUGAGUUUUAUUUUUCCCCUUCAGACAAGAUUCAGAGAAAAAUGAAAAAAGAACAAGAAAAGUAAAAAAAGAAAGAAAGAAAGAAAAAUGCAUCGAAACGAAGAGCCAUGAUCUUGGA